rnacentral:rRNA from 1 species
AACGAACGCUGGCGGCGCGUCUUAAACAUGCAAGUCGAACGAUCUGUAGCAAUACAGGGAGUGGCGGACGGGUGAGGAACACGUAGGAAUCUACCUUGAAGAGCGGGACAACUUUGGGAAACCGGGGCUAAUACCGCAUAGUACAGAGAUGUUAAAGGGCUAGCAAUAGUCGCUUCGAGAUGAGCCUGCGGUCUAUCAGCUUGUUGGUGAGGUAAUGGCUCACCAAGGCUACGACGGAUAGCCGGUCUGAGAGGAUGAUCGGCCACACUGGCACUGAGACACGGGCCAGACUCCUACGGGAGGCAGCAGUUAAGAAUCUUGCGCAAUGGGGGAAACCCUGACGCAGCGACGCCGCGUGAAGGAUGAAGGCUUUCGGGUUGUAAACUUCGGUAGACUGGGAAGAAGAAAUACGUUCGUUGAGGGCGUAUAGUGACGGUACCAGUCUGAAGCCCGGCUAAUUACGUGCCAGCAGCCGCGGUAAU